AACGAACGCUGGCGGCAGGCUUAACACAUGCAAGUCGAACGCACCUUUCGGGGUGAGUGGCAGACGGGUGUGUAACGCGUGGGAAUCUACCCUUCUCUACGGGAUAGCUCUGGGAAAUUGGAAUUAAUACCGUAUACGUCCUGAGGGUGAAAGAUUUAUCGAGGAAGGAUGAGCCCGCGUUGGAUUAGCUUGUGGGUGGGGUAAAGGCCUACCAAGGCGACGAUCCAUAGCUGGUCUAAGAGGAUGAGCAGCCACAUUGGGACUGAGACACGGCCCAAACUCCUACGGGAGGCGGCAGUGGGGAAUAUUGGACAAUGGGCGCAAGCCUGAUCCAGCCAUGCCGCGUGAGUGAUGAAGGCCCUAGGGUUGUAAAGCUCUUUCAGUGGGGACGAUAAUGACGGUACCCACAGAAGAAGCCCCGGCUAACUUCGUG
rnacentral:rRNA from 1 species